UCCGGAGCGAAUCUAGAGGGAGCUUGCUCCCAAAGAUUAGCGGGCGGACGGGUGAGUAACACGUGGGCAACCUGCCUGUAAAACGGGGAUAACUCCGGGAAACCGGGGCUAAUACCGGAUAAUAUCUAUUUAUACAUAUAAUUAGAUUGAAAGAUGGUUCUGCUAUCACUUACAGAUGGGCCCGCGGCGCAUUAGCUAGUUGGUGAGGUAACGGCUCACCAAGGCGACGAUGCGUACCCAACCUGAGAGGGUGAUCGGCCACACUGGGACUGAAACACGGCCCAAACUCCUACGGGAGGCAGCAGUAGGGAAUCUUCCGCAAUGGACGAAAGUCUGACGGAGCAACGCCGCGUGAGUGAUGAAGGUUUUCGGAUCGUAAAACUCUGUUGUUAGGGAAAAACAAGUACCGGAGUAACUGCCGGUACCUUGACGGUACCUAACCAAAAAGCCACGGCUAACUACGUGCCAGCACCCGCGGUAAUACGUAGGUGGCAAGCGUUGUCCGGAAUUAUUGGGCGUAAAGCGCGCGCAGGCGGUUCUUUAAGUCUGAUGUGAAAGCCCACGGCUCAACCGUGGAGGGUCAUUGAAAACUGGGGAACUUGAGUGCAAAAAAGGAAAGUGGAAUUCCAAGUGUAGCGGUGAAAUGCGUAGAGAUUUGGAGGAACACCAGUGGCGAAGGCGACUUUCUGGUCUGUAACUGACGCUGAGGCGCAAAAGCGUGGGGAGCAAAAGGAUUAUAUACCUGGUAGUCCACGCCGUAAACGAUGAGUGCUAGUGUUAGAGGGUUCCCCCCUUUAGUGCUGCACCAACGCAUUAGCACUCCGCCUGGGGAGUACGACCGCAGGUUGAACUCAAGGAAUUGACGGGGCCCGCACAGCGGUGGAGCAUGUGUUUUAUUCAAAGCACGCGAAGACCUUACAGGUCUGACUCCUCUGACAUCCUAGAGAAAGACUUCCCCUUCGGGGACAAAUGACGGUGGUGCAUGUUGUCUCGCUCUGUC
rnacentral:rRNA from 2 species